AGCGAACGCUGGCGGCAGGCUUAACACAUGCAAGUCGAGCGGGCACUUUCGGGUGUCAGCGGCGGACGGGUGAGUAACGCGUGGGAACGUGCCCUCUGGUUCGGAAUAACUCAGGGAAACUUGAGCUAAUACCGGAUACGCCCUUUUGGGGAAAGGCUUGCUGCCGGAGGAUCGGCCCGCGUCUGAUUAGCUAGUUGGUGAGGUAACGGCUCACCAAGGCGACGAUCAGUAGCUGGUCUGAGAGGAUGAUCAGACACACUGGGACUGAGACACGGCCCAGACUCCUACGGGAGGCAGCAGUGGGGAAUAUUGGACAAUGGGCUCAAGCCUGAUCCAGCCAUGCCGCGUGAGUGAUGAAGGCCUUAGGGUUGUAAAGCUCUUUUAUCCGGGACGAUAAUGACGUUACCGGAGGAAUAAGCCCCGGCUAACUUCGUG
rnacentral:rRNA from 1 species